AGCCAUUAGAUGAUACUAUAUGGUUUUACCUGCCCAAUGUUACGAUGAAUGGCCGCGGUACCCUGACCGUGCUAAGGUAGCGUAAUCAGUUGACCUUUAAAUGAGGUCAGGAAUGAAUGGAAUAACCGGGUUUAGCUGUCUCCAAACCACUAUAUUGAAUUUACUAUCUAAGUGAAAAAGCUUAGGAUUUAAAAAAGGAGGAGAAGACCCUUAGAAUUUUUUUAAAAAGGAACAUAUUUUCCUUACAGUUUUAUUGGGGCGAUAAAGAAAUAAUUAAAACUUUCUUUUUUAACAAGCCGAUUGUAUUAAGUAAGAAUAAAUUACCUGAGGGAUAACAGCAUAAUUCUAUAAGUGAGUUUGUGACCUCGAUGUUGGACUAGGAAACCAGUAGGCUAGCCGUUUACUGUGUUAGGUUCUGUUCGAACUUUUAUUCCU
rnacentral:rRNA from 1 species